UUAAAUUGAAGAGUUUGAUCAUGGCUCAGAUUGAACGCUGGCGGCAGGCCUAACACAUGCAAGUCGAACGGUAACAGGAAACAGCUUGCUGUUUCGCUGACGAGUGGCGGACGGGUGAGUAAUGUCUGGGAAAC
rnacentral:rRNA from 3 species